GGUUUAGCAGUUGUUAGAAAACACAUUUCCAACUCCAGGUAGUACUUUCUCUUCUCUGCCCUAACCGGAUACACCAAAAAUACCGCUCCGCCCGCACAUCACAACAAUCAUCAUAUCCCCCUCUCCUCCCUCAAUAAAUACCCUUGUCUUCCCCUCUUCCGCAUCCCUUUUCUCUUCAUAUAUUCUUCCCUAUCUCCUCUCUCUCUCGCGCUCCAAGAUAGUGUGUGAUGAGAAUGAGCUGCAAUGGCUGCAGAGUUCUCCGCAAAGGCUGCUCCCAGAACUGCACCCUCAGACCUUGUCUUCAAUGGAUCAAAUCCCCUGAAUCCCAGGCCAACGCUACCCUCUUUCUCGCCAAAUUCUACGGCCGCGCUGGACUCAUCAACCUCAUCAAUGCCGGCCCAACUCAUCUCCAUCCUGAAAUUUUUAGGUCGCUGCUGUAUGAAGCCUGCGGAAGGAUCAUCAACCCGGUACACGGAUCAGUCGGGCUGAUGUGUUCGGGAAAUUGGCCGCGGUGCCAUGCGGCGGUGGAGGCCGUACUUCAAGGGGCUCCCCUCGUGAUGCAACUCCCCGGUGAGGACGAUUCUGCUGCGGAUCCUCAGGGCUGCGACAUUCGCCACCUCUCCAAGGAUUCCUCCACCAGCCUCCGCCGCAUCAGGACCCGAAACCGCUUCAAGCGCAGCGCCACGCAUGCCAAAACCCAAGUUGACUCCAUCACUGCCGAUUUAGUCAUGAGUGAGUCAGAGGGGAAUUUUACAAUCACGGGGUGGGACUGCGGCGAAGAUUCCAAGAAUUUCGGUGGGGACCUGAAGAGGCCCCCGAGUCGCGACUCGUUCUCGGUUGAGACGGUGGAGCCAGCCUUGGCGAACCGGAACGAACAACCGGCUCUCGGAGUCAAACCGGAGGAGCUAACCAGUGAGAUUGGGUUGGAUUUGACAUUAGGCAUGAAUCCAGGGCUCCAGGCCUACAUGGCUACAGUGAUAGAGAUUUCCGACAGCGAAACCUGAACAUUCAGAACAUUAACCCAGUUUUGGAGGCUCCAUCAGACACCAACUCUUUUUACUAGAUGGGCGAUGGAUACAAGAAGAUUUCUGUGCGUUUGGUAGGAAAAGGUGAAGCAAAGUGAGGUGACAGGUUUGCAGUUUCUUUUGGACAUCUGCUACCUUAAUUUCAUGCAAAAAGUAUUUGAUUCGCCAAGUUUCAUCACCUCUAUCGAAUCUUUACUCAGUCCUGAGGUGUUGUUAGGACACAUAAUUAA